GCCCCGUUAGCGUAGUGGUUUAUCGCAUCUGUCUUGUACGUCCACCAGUUGGGCUGAAACAGAAGGUCCGUCGUUCGACUCGGCGACGGGGCA